CCUUGACUUUGUCAACGGUGACCUUUGUGAGACCAAAUUGGCUGGAAUCUGGACCAUCUCCCGAGGGAAGGAGGGAUUCUGAAAUGAUUCCAUGCAUUUGCUUCAGCAGGAUGGCACAGACUCAGCACUGCAGCAGCACACUGUCCAGUUUGAACUCUGUGUACUCGUAGUAGGGAUCUGAGCGGAAUAUGGUAUUUUGUUUUCUUUUUUGUGUCAGAAGACAGAAGGGUCUGAAGCGCUCCUGUUGUCCGCUGUUCUCGACAGGUGCCAAUCGUCCGUCUGGAUCCAUUUGACUUACAACGUAUCUGGUGACUUUUUUAAACAUUCUGCUGUGUGUGGAUGAAGUUUUGCAGCCAAGCCAAGUGGAUUUGUGCCUUGGGAAAGAGGCAAGGCAAGUUAAGCCAAAUUAUUUGAAAUAAGAGCAGGAAAUAUCAAGCAAUCACCCCAGGCCAGCCCCUUGGGCUUAGGCUGGUGCUCUGCAGGGGAGAGCUGGUGUCUGAGAGCCAGAAACAAAGCCCUGUUUCCUGAGGCAGCUUGUUUUUCACCAAAAAAAAGUUUCAGUUUCACUUUUCUGGUGUGUUGGGGGAGGGAAAACCAGGGAAUGCCAGACUGGUUUGGGUUGGAAGAGACCUUAAAGCCCAUCCAGUUCCAUCCCCUGCCAUGGGCAGUGUGAUAUAUAAAUAAUUGUGAUUCGUGGAACAAAUGGGUGAUUACAUCAAAAUAAAACAAACGGAUUGUAAAACUUAAUUACACCCCCAUAAAGAAAUAAAACAGACCCUCACAAGGUCAAGAGGCCUAAAACCUCCUUACUAUCCUAAGGAUAAAAUAUAGUAGAACUUUAAAUCUUUAGACGCCUGUUCGUCCAAGAAUGCAUGAAUUAUGACUGGUUGUAGAGAUAACCCUUUUAGCUUUAGCUGUAAGAAAACCCAUAUAUUAAAUACUUAGCAAAAACCUGUAGAA